UACGGAGGGUGCAAGCGUUAUCCGGAUUCACUGGGUUUAAAGGGUGCGUAGGAGGGCAGGUAAGUCAGUGGUGAAAUCCCCGAGCUUAACUUGGGAACUGCCGUUGAUACUAUCUGGCUUGAAUAUUGUGGAGGUGAGCGGAAUAUGUCAUGUAGCGGUGAAAUGCUUAGAUAUGACAUAGAACACCAAUUGCGAAGGCAGCUCGCUACACAUAUAUUGACUCUGAGGCACGAAAGCGUGGGGAUCAAACAGG
rnacentral:rRNA from 1 species